rfam:Triticum aestivum genome assembly, contig: Triticum_aestivum_CS42_TGACv1_scaffold_147712_2BS
CACAUACUCCCUUUGUCCGGAAUUACUUGUCGUAGAAAUGGAUGUAUCUAGACAUAUUUUUAGUUCCAGAUACAUCCAUUUCUAUCCAUUUCUGUGACAAGUAAUUCGGGAUGGAGGGAGUAUUUG